GACGAACGCUGGCGGCGUGCCUAAUACAUGCAAGUCGAGCGGACCAAAUCGGAGCUUGCUCUGAUUUGGUCAGCGGCGGACGGGUGAGUAACACGUGGGCAACCUGCCCGCAAGACCGGGAUAACUCCGGGAAACCGGAGCUAAUACCGGAUAACACCGAAGACCGCAUGGCCUUUGGUUGAAAGGCGGCCUUUGGCUGUCACUUGCGGAUGGGCCCGCGGCGCAUUAGCUAGUUGGUGAGGUAACGGCUCACCAAGGCGACGAUGCGUAGCCGGCCUGAGAGGGUGACCGGCCACACUGGGACUGAGACACGGCCCAG
rnacentral:rRNA from 1 species